rnacentral:rRNA from 1 species
UACGUAGGGUGCAAACGUUGCUCGGAAUCAUUGGGCGUAAAGCGCACGUAGGCGGCUCAGCAAGUCGGGUGUGAAAGCCCUCGGCUCAACCGAGGAAGUGCAUUCGAAACUACUGAGCUUGAAUACUGGAGAGGAUCGCGGAAUUCCCGGUGUAGAGGUGAAAUUCGUAGAUAUCGGGAGGAACACCAGUGGCGAAGGCGGCGAUCUGGACAGAUAUUGACGCUGAGGUGCGAAAGCGUGGGGAGCAAACAGG